CAGUUACAAUGCUGCUUUCCAAAUUUCUAUUUACAAAAGUUUCCCCACUGAAAUCACAGAGUUCCACAUUCUGGAAUGGUCUGUUUGGAACUUGAGCAGCACUGACUUCUGAGGAAGACUGCGAUGGAGACACCCCACAGUGUCCUGUUGCUCCUGCGGUCUGAACUUCCAAACACUCUAUCUUCUUUGGUUUAAGAAGUCUUCGUAAAGUCAACAUCCUUUCUGUCAGAAUGACCUGCACCUAGUCUUUGGGCCUCAGGUUUACUUGCAGAGAUCUUCUGGGGAAGACAACCUUCUUUUUGUUCUUUUGGCACAAAGGCAGGAGGUCCGUGGCCUUCCUCCUGGUCACCUGAUUUGAAGAGAGCUGUUCUCCUUCGAGCUUUAGAUUGAGAAAAUUGAAGAGAAAAAAAGCAGAAACUGAAGAACAGAGCAAGAGGCCCUAAAACUCACCCUAAAUGGACAAAGCUAUGAUAGAAAUGCGCCUCAAAUGCUAGACAGGAGCUCUACACAGAAAUGCGCCUCAAAUGCUAGACAGGAGCUCUACACAGAAAUGCGCCUCAAAUGCUAGACAGGAGCUCUACAACUGUUCUACCAAGGAGGUCCAGGCCUACAAACUGAAGUGAGGCAGUGGUGGGGCAGCAUCAAUAAAGGUAGCAGAGGAAAGAAAGAAAAAGAAACCAUCGGCUACUAAAAGUGUCACAUUAAAUGUCACAGGGACUGUGUUAAA